rnacentral:lncRNA from 1 species
AAUGAGCUGAUAUAUUAAAGAAGACCUUAAAACAGUAAAUGAGCAAGUCGAAUUUCUUUACCCCUGUAACCUGUCUAAGCAACUUCUGCCCACUCUUUCACAUUACUUAUCGGGGGGAAAAAAACCAACAUUCAACUGGUUUUUCAUAAAUACAUUAGUCUAAUCUAAGAUUUUCCUGAUAAAUAGAUAAGAAACAGUGGAGAGGCCAGUGAUCCAUAAAUAACGCAUAUGAUACCUCAUCUUUUUCUCAAAUAGCAGUGAUCUCCUAGAAAGCCAAGUAUUGGUUUUGGGAGAAGUAAAACCUAAUUAUCCAAAUGAAACUAUACGUCAAGAGCUACUUUAUGCAUAUAAUUGAGAAAGUAUAAUAUCGGGUCUCUUCCUUCAAAAAGACUGAAUGCUUGAAGCAAUUUGAGGAUACCAGUCCACAAGGGGUUUUACAACAAAAGGGCACAUCUCGCUCAAGUUCAGCCCUCUGGCUUAAACCCCAUGGUGCAUAUGCAGUCUUUAUCAGAGCUCCCUGGCCUACACAGCACCUUUCUGGGAAGUAGAAAAGGCAUGACCCAAGGAACAGCCCCGUGGUGGCAGGGCAUGAGCCUUUGUGGGCCAAAAAAGUCAGCUGGUGAUGGGGCCACAGUCAGUGAGCAGAGCUCGGGAUGGAUCUCAGCCCAGUGUCCCAGUGUACAAACUGCACAACCUUCCACAGAGACCCUGCUCAUCAUGCUGCCUGCCUGUCUCCAGAUUUUGUUCACUCUUGGGAAAAAAAAAAAACAAAAACCGUGAUUGCAUGGAAUCAUCACAUUGAGAGAGACCAGGAGGAAGAAGUAAGCACUCCAUGGAAAACACCUGUCCUACACACAGAAAGGGGAGUGUGGUGGUUAGCAGAGGAGGUCCCAUAUUUUCGUUUGGCACCGGGCUCAGCGAAUUACAUAGCCAGCAAUGACCACAAGUAAGAGUGUUACAGAUUUUUGUUAUAAGCCAUCAUAGUAGACAAUGCAUGCCUAUGAAUGCUUAAGGAGAGUAGAAAAAGAGCAAGAAAUGCAAGAAAAUGCAUGUUCUUAAUGUGUGCCAUACAAAAUC